CCCGCUGAACUUAAGCAUAUUAAUAAGCGGAGGAAAAGAAACUAACAAGGAUUCCCCUAGUAACGGCGAGUGAAGCGGGAAGAGCUCAAGCUUAAAAUCUCCGUGCAAGUUUUGCGCGGCGAAUUGUAGUCUAUAGAGGCGUGAUCAGUGUGGGCGCUUGGGGCAAGUUCCUUGGAAGAGGACAGCAUGGAGGGUGAUACUCCCGUUCAUCCCUGAGUUGCUCGUGCGUACGAUCCGUUUUCUUUGAGUCGCGUUGUUUGGGAAUGCAGCGCAAAGUAGGUGGUAAAUUCCAUCUAAAGCUAAAUAUUGGUGCGAGACCGAUAGCGAACAAGUACCGUGAGGGAAAGAUGAAAAGAACUUUGAAAAGAGAGUUAAAGAGUACCUGAAACUGCUGAAAGGGAACCGAAUCGUUUCCAGUGUCUAUAAUCCGUGGUAUAUUUCAUUGGCGAGUGUGUGCGUGCGUGUGCUGUGGCAGCGGCUUUUUUGGCUGCGCUCGGCGUGUGUGCUGUGUGUGCUUGCUGGUGCCCUGUGCUGCGGUGGGACGUCAAGGUCAGUUCGUAUGCUGCGGGAAAUGGCCGCCGAGGAGGUAGGGCUUACGCUUGCGUUUGUCUGUUAUAUCUUGGUGGACGAGUAGUCGCGGUUGGGACUGAGGUGCCUACAACGUGUUUUUGAGUGGGCCUGUGUCUCUGUGUGCGCCGUGUGCGGAUAGCUUGCUAUGCGUGUGUGGUUGUGUGUGGAUUGAUGUGGGUUUUAACUUGUUGCCGUUCGGGACGUUGACGAAAUGGAGCGAUUUGACCCGUCUUGAAACACGGACCAAGGAGUCUAACAUGUGUGCAAGUGUUAGGGUGUGGAAACCCCAGCGCGAAAUGAAAGUGAAGGGCAGCGUAAGUUGUCUGAGGUAGGAAAUGCUGCGGGCUUCGGUCUGCGGUGUGGCACUAUCGACCGAUCAUGAACCUUCGUGGUGAAAGAUUUGAGUUUGAGCACAUAUGUUGGUACCCGAAAGAUGGUGAACUAUGCCUGAGUAGGGUGAAGCCAGGGGAAACUCUGGUGGAAGCUCGUAGCGAUUCUGACGUGCAAAUCGAUCGUCAAACUUGGGUAUAGGGGCGAAAGACUAAUCGAACCAUCUAGUAGCUGGUUCCCUCCGAAAUUUCCCUCAGGAUAGCAGCAACUUAUUUACGAUAGUUUUAUGAGGUAAAGCGAAUGAUUAGAGGAUUCGGGGAAGAAACUUCCUCGACCUAUUCUCAAACUUUAAAUCUGUAAGACCUGCAGGUUUCUUAAUUGAACUUGUGGAUGUGAAUAUCAAGUUGCUAGUGGGCCAUACGGGGUAAGCUCGUCUGGCG
rnacentral:rRNA from 3 species